rnacentral:rRNA from 1 species
GUAGGUGGCAAGCGUUGUCCGGAAUUAUUGGGCGUAAAGCGCGCGCAGGUGGUUCUUUAAGUCUGAUGUGAAAGCCCCCGGCUCAACCGGGGAGGGUCAUUGGAAACUGGGGAACCUGAGUGCAGGAGAGGAAAGUGGAAUUCCACGUGUAGCGGUGAAAUGCGUAGAUAUGUGGAGGAACACCAGUGGCGAAGGCGACUUUCUGGCCUGUAACUGACACUGAGGCGCGAAAGCGUGGGGAGCAAACAGGGAUUAGAUACCCUGGUAGUCCACGCCGUAAACGAUGAGUGCUAAGUGUUGGGGGGGUUUCCCGCCCCUCAGUGCUGCAGCUAACGCAUUAAGCACUCCGCCUGGGGAGUACGGUCGCAAGACUG